ACGAACGCUGGCGGCACGCUUAACACAUGCAAGUCGAACGAGAGAAGAGGAGCUUGCUUUUCUGAUCUAGUGGCGGACGGGUGAGUAACACGUGAGCAAUCUGCCUUUCAGAGGGGGAUACCGAUUGGAAACGAUCGUUAAUACCGCAUAACAUAAUUGAACCGCAUGAUUUGAUUAUCAAAGAUUUAUCGCUGAAAGAUGAGCUCGCGUCUGAUUAGCUAGUUGGUAAGGUAACGGCUUACCAAGGCGACGAUCAGUAGCCGGACUGAGAGGUUGAUCGGCCACAUUGGGACUGAGACACGGCCCAGACUCCUACGGGAGGCAGCAGUGGGGAAUAUUGCACAAUGGAGGAAACUCUGAUGCAGCGAUGCCGCGUGAGGGAAGAAGGUUUUAGGAUUGUAAACCUCUGUCUUCAGGGACGAAAAAUGACGGUACCUGAGGAGGAAGCUCCGGCUAACUACGUGCCAGCAGCCGCGGUAAUACGUAGGGAGCGAGCGUUGUCCGGAAUUACUGGGUGUAAAGGGAGCGUAGGCGGGAUCGCAAGUCAGAUGUGAAAACUAUGGGCUUAACCCAUAAACUGCAUUUGAAACUGUGGUUCUUGAGUGAAGUAGAGGUAAGCGGAAUUCCUAGUGUAGCGGUGAAAUGCGUAGAUAUUAGGAGGAACAUCAGUGGCGAAGGCGGCUUACUGGGCUUUAACUGACGCUGAGGCUCGAAAGCGUGGGGAGCAAACAGGAUUAGAUACCCUGGUAGUCCACGCCGUAAACGAUGAUUACUAGGUGUGGGGGGACUGACCCCUUCCGUGCCGCAGCAAACGCAAUAAGUAAUCCACCUGGGGAGUACGACCGCAAGGUUGAAACUCAAAGGAAUUGACGGGGGCCCGCACAAGCGGAGGAACAUGUGGUUUAAUUCGAUGAUACGCGAGGAACCUUACCCGGGCUUGAAAGUUAGCGACGGAUCUGGAAACAGGUCUUCCCUUCGGGGCGCGAAACUAGGUGCUGCAUGGUUGUCGUCAGCUCGUGUCGUGAGAUGUUGGGUUAAGUCCCGCAACGAGCGCAACCCUUACUGUUAGUUGCUACGCAAGAGCACUCUAGCAGGACUGCCGUUGACAAAACGGAGGAAGGUGGGGAUGACGUCAAAUCAUCAUGCCCCUUAUGACCUGGGCCUCACACGUACUACAAUGGCUGUCAACAGAGGGAAGCAAAGCCGCGAGGUGGAGCAAACCCCUAAAAGCAGUCUUAGUUCGGAUUGUAGGCUGCAACCCGCCUACAUGAAGUCGGAAUUGCUAGUAAUCGCAGAUCAGCAUGCUGCGGUGAAUACGUUCCCGGGCCUUGUACACACCGCCCGUCACGCCAUGGGAGUCGGUAACACCCGAAGCCUGUAGUCUAACCGCAAGGAGGACGCAGUCGAAGGUGGGAUUGAUGACUGGGGUG
rnacentral:rRNA from 1 species